rnacentral:rRNA from 1 species
GGAGCCCCACCACCAAAGCAUUCUCUGGUGUUGAAGGCCCUGCAAAGCAGCAUCGCGGUGGCGGAGCGUCGUUUGCGACGCCCAACACACAAAACAAGCGGUGAGUGCUUUGGGGUGGGGUGACUGCGUACCUUUUGUAUAAUGGGUCAGCGACUUAUAUUCUGUAGCAAGGUUAACCGAAUAGGGGAGCCGGAGGGAAACCGAGUCUUAAUUGGGCGUUAAGUUGCAGGGUAUAGACCCGAAACCCGGUGAUCUAGCCAUGGGCAGGUUGAAGGUUGGGUAACACUAACUGGAGGACCGAACCGACUAAUGUUGAAAAAUUAGCGGAUGACCUGUGGCUGGGGGUGAAAGGCCAAUCAAACCGGGAGAUAGCUGGUUCUCCCCGAAAGCUAUUUAGGUAGCGCCUCGUGAAUUCAUCUCCGGGGGUAGAGC